UUACUAGUGUUUUUUUUUAAGCCACCAGCGAUUCUUCACCUAAAAAAUUUGUGCUCCCAAGCACAAGACCAUGGUUUGUUUACAAAGUGCCAUCCUAAGUAGGCCACAUAUUGUGAACAGGACGUUACUUCCUGCUAUUUGGAUAUUUUUGGAAUAUGUAACAAAACAAAUGUCACUUUUCUUAUAAAACAAAAAGCCUUACAUUCAUCCUUAGUAAGACAGAAAAUCACAAACAUUCAAAAAUAUUCGAUUAGGUCAAAUAGGUUCAAGCUAGCUUAUCAAGUAUAUGUUGUAAUAUGCCAGCCAAAAUGGAUUUCGGCAGUUGUAGCUAUUUCCUCUCUCGAAAGGUGCCACCCCUAUCUUAUGGCGGCCGUGAUACUACGAGUGUAUGAGAAAAUUGGGGCCUGGGAAGCGGCCAAAGAAGAAGCAGCCGCUUAGGGCGAUAUGCAGCACCUUGGUAAGUGUGAGCAAAUAAUGGAGAACAAGGCAAAUUCAACGUAAAGGCAGCUGCAGAUAGCGCGGACCGAGCUGGACGUGCAAAAACAGGGGCCCUGAUCAAGUUCGCAAGUUCCCGGGAAGUGGGCGGAAGGCACUCGUUCCGCCUGCCCUUCAAGCGAGUCCGAAAAGCCCUGCAAACACAAACAAACGCCAGCGGAAAAGCGGGGAGAGGCAAAGCCAAACGAAAAGGCAGAAAAGACAGGCGCAACAAUCGUCACGUAGCCCAGCACUCACACCGAGGCACAGUGGGCACACGCACAUGCGAGCGAACCCACACAGCGCCGAGGAGCCACACGCACGGGCCUCAGCGCGAUAGCCCAGUGAGUCAGAAAGAGACAAUCGCCGGCGAAGGGAGAGCGAGGGGGGCAGAAUUAGAUAUCUAAAUUGUUUGAUACAAAUGUCUGCUGAAAUGCUUUGAAAAUAAACCGAGGAUGAGCUGCGAACGGCGGAACACGCGGAAGCAAUGCGAAUGUACGGCCCACAGAAUUGGGUCAACGGCCCAGUUCAAAGUCGGAGCCAAGCGGAGCACACUCAGAGAUACAGUGGUGCGAAACAACAUGGUGCAAACAUGUUGCUGUGUACAUUGUAAUGAUCGAUGGGAGCCCUUCGUCUGUGAUGUAUUACGUGCGGCCGCGGCGACUGCGGCAUGUGUACCACGCGAAGCCCCCGGCCCUUUGGUGGGUGGAAAACCAGCGGGUACAGGGGCGCGGCAGACGCACACGCACUGCGGGCAGACGACCUUGAUGACGUGCGUCUGCCUACGUAGUUCGCUUGGGCUCUUUUAGGUUCGAGAUCUAUCGCUGCGUACUGCCACAGGUUCAUGAAUUAACAGAGGUCAUGAGUGCGGCUCGGAUAGAAUGGCUCGAAAAAAUGUAACUUAAUAGAUUACACUUCAUACUCAAAAAUAUCUCAAAUGUGCCUUCAGCAACCAUCUACAAGGAUCGCCCGGAAAAUGGCUAUUGACCCUUCCUAUCAAAUAUGUGACAUUGACAGUCGGCGGCGGAUGAAUGCGGUUUUGGGCGGUCGUUGUUUAUCGAGUUUGCGCAACCGUGUUGUUUACUUUCCUGGGGAGUUGCCUGGCAGGCACACCAGCAAAUCUAGCCCAUUUAUAAACAAUGCCGGGAUUUGGCAAACCACUGAAAAAGAGAUCACGCUGGCCUGACUUCUAAGUGUUUGAUAAAGAACAACACAUCCCGCGGCAGAUUGAUAUCUCGGAGCCAAAGCAAAUGGUAAUUCCGAUAGCGCGAUUCAAACGAUUGCUUGCGUAUCCUCGGCACGUAGGCAAAACGGCGCGGACCACCCUGCUGAACAGACCACCCAAUCCGCGCGAUAAGAAGCUCCAAAAAAGGGGCGGCGUGUACUGCACUCGUUGACAAAAGGUUUUGCAAUAGGUUGGCUAAGCGAAAGGAACAACCAGUGUUUAAAUACACUUGGAAUAUGACAAAUGAACGAAUGGUAAAUUAAACUAACCUCUUUUGUGGGUUUGUACAGAAAAGUAUUGCAAACGUAGAACAGAUACUAAGAGGGGUAGGGAAUGCGUAUUGACUGUAAGCCAUAAUUUUAUUUAACCGAGUUUUACUGAUGACUCAGCCCAAUUCACUGGAAGUUAUGCCCAACGAUUGCGAAAGAAUUCUAUAUUUGUUCCAGUGUGUGCGGUGCAUGUUUGUUGUAUCUGUUAAUGCCGGGGUGUAAGUCAAAAAUAAAUAAAUAAGCGAGUAUCAAAGAUUCGGACGCAACGAACUGCGCAACAGAAUAACUACAAGUCAGCACCUCUGUCCGGAAAACUGCGACUGCGAGUGUGACUGCAGGUGCUAUCAGAUCGGCUACGGUCGCGUUCGCCAUAUGCAUUGCACCGCCGGGCACGUAAUGCCAAAGGUAAAUACUCGACUUGGGAGGUGUCAUCUCGCGCCAGAGUGUGAACAAUACGGAGAUAAUCAAACGCGAAUUCGUUGCGCAGUCCUGAAAUCACACCUGAAGCCUUAAAGAAGAGAAAAUCAGAACCAAAAACUCUAUUUUUAACCAGCAAAUUCUUUAAGUCACCAAAACGCCCACCUGGAGAACAUUCGGCCCAAGUGUGGUACAGGUAAAAAAUAUAAAGCCCAUCACUUUUGACUUAAACUAAAUUAUGUAAAAGUAAAAGAAACCUUAAAAUGAAAGACAUUAAAUAUCUCUAUUGUGAGAGCAACAGAAAUUGCCAACGCGAUUUCAUUUGGAAUUAAUAGAUCAAUAAAAUAAAUUUCCACUCACUGAAAAUCCUAAA